GACGAACGCUGGCGGCGUGCUUAACACAUGCAAGUCGAACGGAAAGGCCUCUUUCGGGGGGUACUCGAGUGGCGAACGGGUGAGUAACACGUGAGUAACCUGCCCUUGACUUUGGGAUAACUUCAGGGAACUGGGGCUAAUACCGGAUAGGAGCUCCUGCUGCAGGGUGGGGGUUGGAAAGUUUCGGCGGUUGGGGAUGGACUCGCGGCGUAUCAGCUUGUUGGUGGGGUAGUGGCUUACCAAGGCUUUGACGGGUAGCCGGCCUGAGAGGGUGACCGGCCACAUUGGGACUGAGAUACGGCCCAGACUCCUACGGGAGGCAGAAGUGGGGAAGAUUGCACAAUGGGUGGAAGCCGGAUGCAGCAACGCCGUGUGCGGGAUGACGGUCUUCGGGUUGUAAACCGCUUUCGCUCAUGACGAAGCUUUGUGUGACGGUAGUGGGUAAAGAAGCACCGGCUAACUACGUG
rnacentral:rRNA from 1 species